CGUGGUAUUACAUAUACAUAUAUACAGAUAUAUACAUAUAUAUGAAAUAUAUAUAUAGUAAAAGAACCAGAGAGCGUCGAUUCACCGAGUACACGCGCCCAUUUGGACAGGGCCGCUGCCAAAGCACCACGGGCCCCGAUCACCAUCAGUCCCUUUUGUCGUCAGUCCCCUCUAUGGAGCAUCUCCUGAUGAUGCUGAUACUGGUGCUGGAUCUUUGGCUCUUCCACCUGUCCAAGAGUAUAACUAAGAAGCCCUCCUCUAGGCAUCGCCACCACCAUCGCCACCACCAAUACCAUCACCAUCACUCGGACUCGUAUCGCUUUCUUUACCCCCACCUGCUGGCAAUACCAAUGCCGAUGCUGAUGCUGGUCCUCAUACCUGCACAGUCUGGAGCAUCAGAAUCUCCAGUCCAUUCACCAGCUCGAAAUCUUCAUUCCCGGCUCUGCUCUGUUCUUCCCAAUGACAAUCUCCGGCACCCUGAUGAUGACCGUAGUAAUUGAUAUUGACAUUAGCAGCGUCAGGUGAUGGAUUGAGUUGAGCAAUUAUUUGCUAUUGGCUUGCUGGUAAUUACCGCACUGCGUAAAGCACACAUGAUGUAUAAUGUAUAUGUGUACGGAGAUAAUGUAAAUGAAUAAUAAACAUAAUAGAUGGUGAAUGAUGAUGAGAGCGUGAGAGGGAGUGAUGUAGUGUAUGUGUAUAUAUUGAAGAAUGUUGGAUGCUGGAUGAUGGCUUAGUUUCUUGGCCGACCGGUCUUCCUGCCGCGCCAUGCUGUCUGCCCGAUAUGAUUCCCGCAUACUUCCCACUUAGCAAUUGGAUAUUUUACGCCAUUUCCGCUUGACGACUCAAUCGUACUUCUCGCGAUAUUUCGUGGAAAUGCCCACGCGUUUCCUUCUUCACAAUAUUAUGCGAAUGCGGAUAAUAAAUGACCUGCAAAAUAUACAUGUAUGUUAUUAUUAUUAGUGGUAUAGUUGUUUUAAUUUAUUAAAGAGCAAGAAGAGAAGCGAUGAUAAAUAAUAGAGUGAGAAAUCAGAUACAUGUGAUAUGUAGACACGACGAUUAUUAUCAUAUGAAGAAUAAUUUGUCUUGAUGUGUUGAACACACACUUCAGCAAUUCACCAUGGGCUUUAAUCUAUUCAUCUGGUUCUGGUAUUUGGAUCUUCUGGUAAUGGUGAAUUUUUUUUUUUGGGAAGAAGUAAAAAAAAUAAUAAAUCAACAUCAUCAUUAUCGUGAUGAUGAUCAUGACGACCGUGUAUCCGAGGGAAUGUCAUGUCCUCGCGGGAUAGAAUAAGACUUUAAGCAAAAGUAGAAUUGGCCAGAGGUAACCGGCAUCAAGAGGUACGAAGGACCGAUACGAGUAGAGGAAGAAACACGACGGGAGUGGCGGUGAGAAAGAACCAAAGGUAUAAGAGAAGAUAUCGUGCCGGUUAGUGCCCCGCCCCGGCUUCAGGGUCGUCUUAAUUACCGGGUGGUCCAGUUCGGAACCCCAUAAAUAUUUCGUUGCGGCGGCACUCUUUCCGACGAGACCCCAGGACUCCUGGGAGAGCUUAUAGACUUUAUUCUCGAGACCAAGUAGGACUAAUGUGACCGACAGAGAGAGAAAGUUUAUUCUUUAAAAGAGAGUAUAUAAAAUGAGAGAGUAAAUAUAAAGAUGUACAGUAAACUCCAUAACUCCAUGGUCGUGUAGGCUUUUUCACAGACUCUCGUAUAUAAUUCCAUCAGAUUGGGCUCUCUUUGUAUUUAUACUUCCACCGCCUGGCUAACUGCUCAAGAAUAACCGGAUGAGAUCCAACUCUUUUAGCGUUUCAUUCCAUUCCAUUCCAUUCCACUCCACUCAGUUAUCUUAGGGAGCCAGCAAGUCUACCGAAGGUAGUCAUUUAGAUGAAUCGUCGGUUUGCUGGAUGUGGGAAAGAGACAUCCAGCUCGGGACGAGAUUACUCUCAGACGCAGCUCCGGCGAAGAACGAGGGGUCCAUCUCCACCAGACAAAGACGGCGGCAAAAAAAAUACGUUAAGUAAAAUAAAUUAUUGAUUUUUAUCUAAUUUUCGGCGUUACCCAAAGAGAAUAUGUGCCCUGUACGGUACCAAGAGGAUUAGUCAUUUUUUCUAGUCACCUCCUCAGGUAUACGAGAUAACAAGGACUCAUCCUGUAACUCAGGGUCCUAUCUGCACCACGUCACCCAGCUCUGCAGAUUGAGCAGUCUGAGGCCUCCUACGCCGCGAGCUUCCAUACUCGACAGAAUGUCUUCGGCAUGAGUCAUCUGCCGGGACAUCUCUAUCACACACCGGGAUGAUGCUCCAUGUGUAUGAGGAAUCCAUUAGCGGAGUGAUGGACGUGACGUUAAUCAGCUAGUGCAGUAUUAAGUAUUCUCCCUUCACUUGGUACGCGCGUAUUGUAUCCGCUGGCUUACAAGUCUCUGGGUUUUACGACCCGCCCACAUACGAAGCCUAAAACAAUGCCCAUUACUACCAAUUUUCGAUGAGCUGUCAUCAACCACCCACGGGCAUACGACGAGGGAGCUAGGGCACUAUCAUUUGUGUGGUCUGCCGGGCGGAUUCGUCUUGAGUUGGUAUUGUAGAGUUGGCUAAAGUCUAAGAAAAAGACUGAGAGCGAGAGAGCUCAAGAGUUUUUUAAAAUAUAUAUGUAUAUAUAAUACUAAGUGAGUGAGAUUGACGACUAAAAGAAGAAAGAGACCACCUUCGUGGAAGCCACUUUACUCUCGCGAGAACAGAGAGAACAUUCCUUGUUCUAUCUCACUUGGUUUUAUAUUUCGAAAUUCUCUCUACUCCUCGACUUAAACUCAACUCUAUACAACACUCCGCGGAUCUUGUGUAUACAUACAUAUAUAUUUAUAUAUUAUUAUGUCCGUUGUCUGUAUUAUAGUAUACGAGAUACCAGGAGAGAGUGGAUCCAUGAGAGAACGAGAGAUGUAGAUUCCCACCGAGUCUGGCUCAAUGAUCAGAGUACACAUCUUGGAAUUAAAAAAAACCAUUAAAUAAAUAAAUAACUGAGUGCAUCUCUCAUAUGUACUCCCGCGUUAUAUCGGUACUUCAUGGAAGCUCAUUGUGCAAGGUAUAAUUAUGCAAUCAGCUCUUUAUCAUACGUAAAUAUACACGCGGUAAAUUUCCAGUACUUGAUAGUCCGCCUGCGAUUGACUGAUGCACUGAAAUUAAAUUAAAGCUUCUAAUUAAUUUCUCACGGCUAAAAAUUCAAAGAAGAAUUUUAGUUUUUAAAAAAAAAUUAAUGCUAACACAUGAAAAAAAAUUUUUCUGGGCUCAAUAAAAUUUUCCUGGGGCGAGUAAAAAUUUUCUUGAGUAAAGAAAUCUUUUUUUCUGUAUAAUAAUAAUAAAACGUAUAAAAAACCAGUACUUUAGUAAGCAUGCAUUAAUUAUACUACUGGUCUUGGUGGAAUGUGCAGGCUCAUCUCAUCAUUGAUUAAAACUCCUUAUUAUAAAUAAGGAGGUUUUAUAUGUUUAUUUAUAAUAAAACCAGAUGGUAUUGUAUAUAUUUAAUAUACUGGAUCGGUCAUCAGAUGCGAGUGCUGGUAUAAUAAAUAAACUGAUGCAUCCAACCAGUACGGGCACCCUCACCUGUUCUCCUCUCAUCUGCACAUACGCAUCAGCCAGAUGCACUUGAUGACAGAUAUCGCGGCUUGUCCCUCAUCUCCCGGAAACUCGUUUCUUCUCAAUCCAAUGACGGCAAUAUUUUGAUCCUCGUAAUUUAUCGGAAUUUAUAACGACCAAGAGUUUCAAUUUGCUGGAGUUUUAAAUUGCACGGAUUUUAAUUAUCAACGUGGAGAUUAGAUGAGAGGAAUAAAAUCCUGAAGUCUGGAAGGUUCGUUAGUUGGAUUAACGUUUAAGUGAAUGAGGCCUGAGAUGAUGUGAUAUGAGGAAUGAUGAUCCUGACAUUAGAUAGAACCUGAUACGAUACGAGUAGAGGUAAACAAGUAUUCUCUAUAUACACAGUCCAGAGAGUACUUUCGGUACGCGGCAGACAGCGCGUCGCCCAAUCUCUGACUUGUUCAUAUUCUCACUACUUCUUGUGUGUUAGACUUAAUACCAGCGGUAACUGCCGUAGAUUCAAUUGUACAAAUGUAUCAUUAUGUUAAUGUGUUACGUGAUGAUGAUGAUGAUGAUGAUGAUGAUGAAAUAUUGGAUUCUGUGAUGAGAUAGUUGAGGGUUAAGAUGAUUUAUCAUUUAUUAUUGAAAAUAGUCUGGUUGUAACCAUCUUGGAGAUUAAUUUUUUUUCUUCUUCUUCUUAGUCAUCUUUAUCUUCUUUCUGGAAGUCGCUUGUAUAUAUUAUAUAAUAUAUAGAAUAGUAAAAAUUACAUACUAGGUCUGCACUUUUUUUAUUAACACUGGAGUUAGCCGACGUCUAAUAAUUUUUAGAUUUUUUUCAAAAAAAAUUGCAGCGUUUGGUUCACCAGAGCACGUGUGCGUCAGAUGUCUGAUAAUGAUCUACAUUUGGGUAAUUUUUUUUAACAGAGUACAUGUGUGUACUCCUACAGAAAAUCAGGACUUGUCACCAUCUAAGAAAAUCCAUAGAAAAUCGAAAUUCUGCCAGAAGAUCUAUAGAAAAUCAGGAAUUGUUAGAUUUGUCUAAUUUUUAUCAGCAGAGCACGUGUGCGUCGAAUGUCAAAUAAUGGUCUAGAUUUUUUCAAAUUUUCAGUCCCGCUAUGAAAAUUAAAAAUUUUCAAAAAAAGAAAAGUUAUUGGUUUCAGUCCGAUAAUUAACUGGAAAAAAAAUAAUAAAAUUUAACUGGAAAUUUGGCGCAUAAAUAAUUUUCUACGCUGUAAACAAUUGUUGAAGGCCUCUCAUAUCACGUGUAUAUUUUAUUACAGUACUUUGACUGUUGUGAAAAUUUUCUAUUUAUAGAUAAUGAACGUUGUGCUGGUUUAAAUUAUAAUUUUAUUACUAUUGAAUAUUGAAUAUAUUUUAAUUUUUUCUUGGAAUAUUAAUUUGUUUAUCCGUUCGGGGAAAUUAUUUAACUCGGAUAUUUUUAAACAUAAGACUUUGCUUUUUCCUUAUUUGUAUUUUGUCCUCGGGGUUUUCUUUGUAAUUUAUGUUUAUGUUCGUCCACGUGUUGUAGAGUAAACCUUUUAUCCUUUUAGCUUUUUAUUUAUUUAAUAUUUUUUAAGUGAAAUGUGAAACUCGGGUGUCACUUUACAUAACGUUAUAACUAUUAGAAAGUCUGAUAUAUAUUUAAAUAUCGAUUCAUAAAAAUAUCCUAGUACGUAUAUAUUCAUAUAUAUAUAUUUAUAGUAGUAAU